rnacentral:rRNA from 1 species
UGGGGAAUAUUGCACAAUGGGCGCAAGCCUGAUGCAGCCAUGCCGCGUGUAUGAAGAAGGCCUUCGGGUUGUAAAGUACUUUCAGUCGGGAGGAAGGUGGUAAGGUUAAUAACCUUAUCAAUUGACGUUACCGACAGAAGAAGCACCGGCUAACUCCGUGCCAGCAGCCGCGGUAAUACGGAGGGUGCAAGCGUUAAUCGGAAUUACUGGGCGUAAAGCGCACGCAGGCGGUUGAUUGAGUCAGAUGUGAAAUCCCCGGGCUUAACCCAGGAAUUGAAUCUGAUACUGGUCAGCUGGAGUCUUGUAGAGGGGGGUAGAAUUCCAUGUGUAGCGGUGAAAUGCGUAGAGAUGUGGAGGAAUACCGGUGGCGAAGGCGGCCCCCUGGACAAAGACUGACGCUCAGGUGCGAAAGCGUGGGGAGCAAACAGG